AAAUCAACCGAGAUUCCCCCAGUAGCGGCGAGCGAACGGGGAGGAGCCCAGAGCCUGAAUCAGUGUGUGUGUUAGUGGAAGCGUCUGGAAAGGCGUGCGAUACAGGGUGACAGCCCCGUACACAAAAAUGCACAUACUGUGAGCUCGAUGAGUAGGGCGGGACACGUGGUAUCCUGUCUGAAUAUGGGGGGACCAUCCUCCAAGGCUAAAUACUCCUGACUGACCGAUAGUGAACCAGUACCGUGAGGGAAAGGCGAAAAGAACCCCGGCGAGGGGAGUGAAAAAGAACCUGAAACCGUGUACGUACAAGCAGUGGGAGCCUCUUAAUGGGGUGACUGCGUACCUUUUGUAUAAUGGGUCAGCGACUUAUAUUCUGUAGCAAGGUUAACCGAAUAGGGGAGCCGAAGGGAAACCGAGUCUUAACUGGGCGUUAAGUUGCAGGGUAUAGACCCGAAACCCGGUGAUCUAGCCAUGGGCAGGUUGAAGGUUGGGUAACACUAACUGGAGGACCGAACCGACUAAUGUUGAAAAAUUAGCGGAUGACUUGUGGCUGGGGGUGAAAGGCCAAUCAAACCGGGAGAUAGCUGGUUCUCCCCGAAAGCUAUUUAGGUAGCGCCUCGUGAAUUCAUCUCCGGGGGUAGAGCACUGUUUCGGCAAGGGGGUCAUCCCGACUUACCAACCCGAUGCAAACUGCGAAUACCGGAGAAUGUUAUCACGGGAGACACACGGCGGGUGCUAACGUCCGUCGUGAAGAGGGAAACAACCCAGACCGCCAGCUAAGGUCCCAAAGUCAUGGUUAAGUGGGAAACGAUGUGGGAAGGCCCAGACAGCCAGGAUGUUGGCUUAGAAGCAGCCAUCAUUUAAAGAAAGCGUAAUAGCUCACUGGUCGAGUCGGCCUGCGCGGAAGAUGUAACGGGGCUAAACCAUGCACCGAAGCUGCGGCAGCGACGCUUAUGCGUUGUUGGGUAGGGGAGCGUUCUGUAAGCCUGUGAAGGUGGCCUGUGAGGGUUGCUGGAGGUAUCAGAAGUGCGAAUGCUGACAUAAGUAACGAUAAAGCGGGUGAAAAGCCCGCUCGCCGGAAGACCAAGGGUUCCUGUCCAACGUUAAUCGGGGCAGGGUGAGUCGACCCCUAAGGCGAGGCCGAAAGGCGUAGUCGAUGGGAAACAGGUUAAUAUUCCUGUACUUGGUGUUACUGCGAAGGGGGGACGGAGAAGGCUAUGUUGGCCGGGCGACGGUUGUCCCGGUUUAAGCGUGUAGGCUGGUUUUCCAGGCAAAUCCGGAAAACCAAGGCUGAGGCGUGAUGACGAGGCACUACGGUGCUGAAGCGACAAAUGCCCUGCUUCCAGGAAAAGCCUCUAAGCAUCAGGUAACAUCAAAUCGUACCCCAAACCGACACAGGUGGUCAGGUAGAGAAUACCAAGGCGCUUGAGAGAACUCGGGUGAAGGAACUAGGCAAAAUGGUGCCGUAACUUCGGGAGAAGGCACGCUGAUAUGUAGGUGAAGCGACUUGCUCGUGGAGCUGAAAUCAGUCGAAGAUACCAGCUGGCUGCAACUGUUUAUUAAAAACACAGCACUGUGCAAACACGAAAGUGGACGUAUACGGUGUGACGCCUGCCCGGUGCCGGAAGGUUAAUUGAUGGGGUUAGCGGCAACGCGAAGCUCUUGAUCGAAGCCCCGGUAAACGGCGGCCGUAACUAUAACGGUCCUAAGGUAGCGAAAUUCCUUGUCGGGUAAGUUCCGACCUGCACGAAUGGCGUAAUGAUGGCCAGGCUGUCUCCACCCGAGACUCAGUGAAAUUGAACUCGCUGUGAAGAUGCAGUGUACCCGCGGCAAGACGGAAAGACCCCGUGAACCUUUACUAUAGCUUGACACUGAACAUUGAGCCUUGAUGUGUAGGAUAGGUGGGAGGCUUUGAAGUGUGGACGCCAGUCUGCAUGGAGCCGACCUUGAAAUACCACCCUUUAAUGUUUGAUGUUCUAACGUUGGCCCGUAAUCCGGGUUGCGGACAGUGUCUGGUGGGUAGUUUGACUGGGGCGGUCUCCUCCUAAAGAGUAACGGAGGAGCACGAAGGUUGGCUAAUCCUGGUCGGACAUCAGGAGGUUAGUGCAAUGGCAUAAGCCAGCUUGACUGCGAGCGUGACGGCGCGAGCAGGUGCGAAAGCAGGUCAUAGUGAUCCGGUGGUUCUGAAUGGAAGGGCCAUCGCUCAACGGAUAAAAGGUACUCCGGGGAUAACAGGCUGAUACCGCCCAAGAGUUCAUAUCGACGGCGGUGUUUGGCACCUCGAUGUCGGCUCAUCACAUCCUGGGGCUGAAGUAGGUCCCAAGGGUAUGGCUGUUCGCCAUUUAAAGUGGUACGCGAGCUGGGUUUAGAACGUCGUGAGACAGUUCGGUCCCUAUCUGCCGUGGGCGCUGGAGAACUGAGGGGGGCUGCUCCUAGUACGAGAGGACCGGAGUGGACGCAUCACUGGUGUUCGGGUUGUCAUGCCAAUGGCACUGCCCGGUAGCUAAAUGCGGAAGAGAUAAGUGCUGAAAGCAUCUAAGCACGAAACUUGCCCCGAGAUGAGUUCUCCCUGAGACUUAGAGUCUCCUGAAGGAACGUUGAAGACGACGACGUUGAUAGGCCGGGUGUGUAAGCGCAGCGAUGCGUUGAGCUAACCGGUACUAAUGAACCGUGAGGCUUAACCUU
rnacentral:rRNA from 1 species